GCUGAGCGGCCGAUCCCAGCUCCAGGCCGGGGCGGGGUUCCGAGGCACUAGCCGACCUGCUGCGGGGGAACUGGACCCUACCUUGGCUCGGGGCCCCGCUGCGCACCUGUGCACGUAGAGCUGUGGAGGCGGAAGGCUGUGUGUUGUAGCUAUUGAGAGUUUUGCAGGCAGACGGCCCCGUGAUGAGGCUUCUCGGCUCUGCUUCCUCGGGCUGCAGCCCCCUAGGGUUCUGCUCCCCCUGCCUGUGUGUGGGGCUUAGGGCUGCCGCCUGCAGUAAUGCUGAAGCCCCCGGCCCAUCCCACAGGGCCAGAUGGACUAGAGGAGGGGGCGAGCCGCCAGAGGGCUGAAAGGAAGGCCAGCAGGAACCCUCCUGGCCACGGGGGCCGUGAAACAGAUGUCAAUCCCAUCCCAGAGCAACGGGAUGUCAAGCAUCACAUCCCAUCGGUGUGUGAUGAGCCAAACACAUGGGCCGCGGUGAGUCAGUUGGGCCCCGCUCUGACCAGACGCUCCCUCCACAGCCCCGCACCCACCUCACUCCUGCUCUUCUGCGGGACCCCGGACCCCGGGUGUGCUGGGGAGUCCCAGGCACAGCUGUGUGCCGGGUGGGAGCAGGGCUUGCAGGCUCUCGUGCCGUUUGUGCACCAACGUCUUUAAUGCUACCCUAAACACCAGUAGAGAGUUUCUAGGGGACAGUGAAACAGCUCCUUGCCCUCUGUCCCAGAACAAAGUGCUCAAGAAAUGCUUGUUGAAUGGAUGAAUAAACUCCACUUAUGGAACAAGAAGCUGAGAUCUCCAAAGGGAACCCGGUUUAGUUACUUAUGGGAAUCUAGAAGCAGGAUAGGGCUAGCGUGGAAGGGGAAAGCUCUUUUUUUUUUUAAUUUACUUUCCUCACACAGGAAGGCUGAAGUGGCUACAGUGUGGGUUUUAAAUACUAUGUUCCUCUUUCUUCCAGGCACUUAUGUACUUUCUUGACAGUUAAAAGAAAUUAAUUAAUUAAUUAAUUUUGGGCUGCGUUUGGUCUUCGUUGCUGCGCGUGGGCUUUCUUUAGUUGUGGCGAGCAGGGGCUGCUCUUUGUUGCGGUGCGUGGGCUUCUCAUUUCUGUGGCUUCUCUUGUUGCAGAGCACAGGCUGUAGGCGUGCAGGCUUCAGCAGUUGUGGCUCGCGGGCUCUGGAGCGCAGGCUCAGUAGCUGUGGCUCACGGGCUUAGCUGCUCUGCAGCAUGUGGGAUCUUCCUGGACCGGGGAUAGAACCCACAUCCCCUGCAUCGGCAGGAGGAUUCUUAACUACUGCGCCACCAGGGAAGCCCCGGGAAAGCUCAUUUUAACACACCUUCCUUCCCCUAAUGACCUCCACUCUCCUCUACUGCCCAAAGGGUAGAGGAUAAGAUACGCUCAUUAAUGCUCUGAUAUGAACAGUGGAAGGCUGGCCGGCAACUUUUCCCCCCUGCCCCCAGCCUGUCUUCUGCCCCUCAGCCCUCUGCCUUGAUUGCCUCAGGUGGGCUCAGUUUGUCAGAGAUCCAGAGCCCAGGCCCUCUGGGUUUUCCUUUCCCGUGGUAUUUGGCUGAGCCUCUCCUGAGGCCAGUGGGCAAGUAUGUGGCAUCUGUGUCCACAUAACUCGUGGCACCAUCUUGGGCUGCAAUGUUUCUAUCUGUUGCUUCACAUCUCCAGUUUCUGGAUCAUUUGGGGUGGAGGUGAGGAUUGAACUCUUCCUUUUUCUUCAACACACGCACACAUGCAAACACACACACAUACAGAUGCAAACACACACACAUGCAAACACACACAUGCAAACACACACAGGCACACACACAGACACACACAUGCAAACACAUACACAUGCAAACA